ACUCGAGCUUGUGCUUUGUUAUCGAGACUCGAUACACCCGGUGGCUGGUUUAUGCUGGAAUCCUGCCGCUAUCUGAUCCGUUCCUGUCCGUCUCUAGGGUGGCGCAAACUUUGGAAGCAUCAACACCACAAAAAGUUAGACCACCAAUAUUUGAAAGCACCUGAAACGCGCGCAGUUUCUUUCGCCAGAGCGAGAACCAACAUAGGUCUCUUCCUCGAUGGCACCUGCAGCCUUAAUUUUUAAGCUCAAGACCUGCAACAGGAUUUGCAAAAACAACCCUUGUGAUUCAGAGGCAUCAGUGCUACCAGCCUACAGCAAAUGGACUGCAGUGAUUCAAGAAGGAAGAUCACCACCACCUUCUCAAGGGCAACUAAGGACAGGAAAUAAAUAUUGGCCACCCAGAAACUGCCACGUCCCACAUGAAUUAAAAAAAAUACAUUCAUCCUCCAUCAUACCGAUGUCUUUUUGGAUCAAGAAGCAUGUAGACACGAAUCCAUUUCUGGAACUUGUAUUAACAAUGUGUUUUUGACAAGUGAUGAAACAUCUUGAAAUACUGAUGUUGCUUGAACUAGCUAUUCGAUUGACGUCAGUGCUGUACAACAGUUGACGAAGUUAUGAGUGAAUUUCGAUUACAUUGCUUUUAUAGAUGUCUGAGUCUUUCUGCAUAUAAACAAUUUAUUA